AUGAUUCGAGGCUAUGUCCCCGAGCAUGUCUGGCAAGUGCUUGCCGAGCUAAGCCAUUUCUUCCGCACGCUCUGUGCUAAAGAAGUAAGUAAAGACGUGAUUGGAAAAUUGCAUAAGAAGGCACCGGAGUUGAUAGUCAAGCUAGAGAAGAUUCGUUUCUGGGAAGACAUCUGGUUAGGCAACGCCAGUCUCCGAGAACAAUAUCCAGCCUUGUACAACAUUGCUCGCGAUAAAAAUAAUACUAUUGCGCAGGUGCUCAGCUCAUCACCGCCGAAUCUUUCAUUCAGGCGGGAUUUGAUUGGCACCCGACUUACGUCAUGGCAUAAUCUCUUAUCUCGUUUGGAUUCGAUUAACCUGGCACAAGGUCGGGACGUGUUUCGCUGGAACCUUACUACAUCUGGGUCUUUUACAGUA
rnacentral:rRNA from 1 species